CCCGCUCGCCGGAAGACCAAGGGUUCCUGUCCAACGUUAAUCGGGGCAGGGUGAGUCGACCCCUAAGGCGAGGCCGAAAGGCGUAGUCGAUGGGAAACAGGUUAAUAUUCCUGUACUUGGUGUUACUGCGAAGGGGGGACGGAGAAGGCUAUGUUAGCCGGGCGACGGUUGUCCCGGUUUAAGCAUGUAGGCUGGUUGUCCAGGCAAAUCCGGAUAACCAAGGCUGAGGUGUGAUGACGAGGUACUACGGUGCUGAAGUAACAAAUGCCCUGCUUCCAGGAAAAGCCUCUAAGCAUCAGGUAACAUUAAAUCGUACCCCAAACCGACACAGGUGGUCAGGUAGAGAAUACCAAGGCGCUUGAGAGAACUCGGGUGAAGGAACUAGGCAAAAUGGUGCCGUAACUUCGGGAGAAGGCACGCUGGUGUGUAGGUGAAGUCCCUGCGGAUGGAGCUGAGACCAGUCGAAGAUACCAGCUGGCUGCAACUGUUUAUUAAAAACACAGCACUGUGCAAACACGAAAGUGGACGUAUACGGUGUGACGCCUGCCCGGUGCCGGAAGGUUAAUUGAUGGGGUUAUCCGUAAGGAGAAGCUCUUGAUCGAAGCCCCGGUAAACGGCGGCCGUAACUAUAACGGUCCUAAGGUAGCGAAAUUCCUUGUCGGGUAAGUUCCGACCUGCACGAAUGGCGUAAUGAUGGCCAGGCUGUCUCCACCCGAGACUCAGUGAAAUUGAACUCGCUGUGAAGAUGCAGUGUACCCGCGGCAAGACGGAAAGACCCCGUGAACCUUUACUAUAGCUUGACACUGAACAUUGAGCCUUGAUGUGUAGGAUAGGUGGGAGGCUUUGAAGCGUGGACGCCAGUCUGCGUGGAGCCAACCUUGAAAUACCACCCUUUAAUGUUUGAUGUUCUAACGUUGGCCCCUGACCGGGGUUGCGGACAGUGUCUGGUGGGUAGUUUGACUGGGGCGGUCUCCUCCCAAAGCGUAACGGAGGAGCACGAAGGUUAGCUAAUCCUGGUCGGACAUCAGGAGGUUAGUGCAAUGGCAUAAGCUAGCUUGACUGCGAGCGUGACGGCGCGAGCAGGUGCGAAAGCAGGUCAUAGUGAUCCGGUGGUUCUGAAUGGAAGGGCCAUCGCUCAACGGAUAAAAGGUACUCCGGGGAUAACAGGCUGAUACCGCCCAAGAGUUCAUAUCGACGGCGGUGUUUGGCACCUCGAUGUCGGCUCAUCACAUCCUGGGGCUGAAGUAGGUCCCAAGGGUAUGGCUGUUCGCCAUUUAAAGUGGUACGCGAGCUGGGUUUAGAACGUCGUGAGACAGUUCGGUCCCUAUCUGCCGUGGGCGCUGGAGAAUUGAGGGGGGCUGCUCCUAGUACGAGAGGACCGGAGUGGACGCAUCACUGGUGUUCGGGUUGUCAUGCCAAUGGCACUGCCCGGUAGCUAAAUGCGGAAGAGAUAAGUGCUGAAAGCAUCUAAGCACGAAACUUGCCCCGAGAUGAGUUCUCCCUGAGACUUUAAGUCUCCUGAAGGAACGUUAAAGACGAUGACGUUGAUAGGCCGGGUGUGUAAGCGCAGCGAUGCGUUGAGCUAACCGGUACUAAUGAACCGUGAGGCUUAACCUU
rnacentral:rRNA from 1 species